GACGAACGCUGGCGGCGUGCCUAAUACAUGCAAGUCGAGCGGGCCUCCGGAGGUGCUUGCACCUCCGGAAGGCCAGCGGCGGACGGGUGAGUAACACGUGGGCAACCUGCCUUUGAGGCCGGGAUAACACCGGGAAACCGGUGCUAAUACCGGAUGCGUCCGCUUUCGCGCCUGCGAGAGGGGAGAAAGACGGUCUUUAAGGCCGUCGCUCAAAGAGGGGCCCGCGGCGCAUUAGCUGGUCGGUGGGGUAAGGGCCUACCAAGGCGACGAUGCGGUGCCGACCUGAGAGGGUGAUCGGCCACACUGGGACUGAGACACGGCCCAGACUCCUGCGGGAGGCAGCAGUAGGGAAUCAUCCGCAAUGGGCGAAAGCCUGACGGUGCAACGCCGCGUGAGUGAGGAAGGUUUUCGGAUCGUAAAGCUCUGUUGUGAGGGAAGAACAGCUUCCGGAGGAAAUGCCGGAGGUUUGCCGGUACCUCACCAGAAAGCCCCGGCUAACUACGUGCCAGCCGCCGCAGUAAAAC
rnacentral:rRNA from 1 species